ensembl:lncRNA
CGCAGACAGCACAAAGGAAACGAGGCAAGAAUGAUGCAGAUAGCACAAGGGCACAAUUCAUAUUGUGAAUCUCAUGGACAGGAUGUGGAAUGUGAGAGAGGGAGAAACCCAGGACACCUCUAAGGUGGAUGGUCCACAUAAGCACAAGUGGAAUAAAGAAGUCUAUCAUGGAACACUGGGGUGGAGGGCCUGAGGUGGAGGGGAAUCAUUUUGUUUCUAUAAGUUAAAUUUGAGAUGUCCAUUAGACACAGAAGUGAAAAGAUAACACCGAAGGUUCAACCAGGAGUGGACUCAGGUAGGGGAUCCUAGGCAGUGAGGUCACUUCUUUGACAACAGAGCCCAACAGAACUUGGAACCCCUGCAACCAGGCACCCACAUUCUAGUGCAGCCCCACAUCAGGCUCACUUGGCUGGAGACAUCCGCUAGUGAAAGAUGUUCUCUUGCUGCGUGCCAACUUCCCGGGGUUCUGGCUUCCAGAAACCCCAGGGAUGCGGCUUUUUCAAAUGCUGUAGACUUUGGUUCCACCGUCACACCCCUCGCCUCAAGGCAUUUGCCAGGAGGCGCCCUAAGAGCUCCACACAGGAGAUGGGGCAGGAAUGGGAGGAAGAAAUCCAGUGCUCCACCUCCUUGAUGAACAGGAAAGUGCCCUGCACAGCUAACAGAGGCCAGUGUGGACUCAAGGUUCAACUUAUGACGGCACUGUACAGUUUUGAAGGAAAGUUAGAUUUGACAUCUGCCACCUGUUGGUCACAAGGGCUAGACCAUGUCUGCUUCUCCUCACUGCUCAAGGUACACGCUUCCUGAAACUAGACAUAUCAUCUUCAGUCACAGUAUGUGUGCAGUUGUAUUCCCUUUAACAUAGUCCUUUGCAUGGUAUAAAGCUCUUUGGUGUGCAUUAUUUGAUCCUUACUACAACUCCAUGCGGUAAUGAA